rnacentral:rRNA from 1 species
UACGGAGGGAGCUAGCGUUGUUCGGAAUUACUGGGCGUAAAGCGCACGUAGGCGGGCGAUUAAGUCAGGGGUGAAAUCCCGGAGCUCAACUCCGGAACUGCCUUUGAUACUGGUCGUCUAGAGAUCGGAAGAGGUGAGUGGAAUUCCCAGUGUAGAGGUGAAAUUCGUAGAUAUUGGGAAGAACACCGGUGGCGAAGGCGGCUCACUGGUCCGAUACUGACGCUGAGGUGCGAAAGCGUGGGGAGCAAACAGG